UUGUGUGGAUAAGAAGAUACCCUAGGGUCACAGCCACUCAGGGUCCCGGGAGUCAUUCUUUGGUCAGGAACACCCGAUGUUGGGAACCCUCCUAACGCCCCACCCCUGCAGAGUCCCUCCCCAAUCUGUGGUAAUGAUUUCUUUUCUUUCUUUUUUUUUUUUUCCUUUCUUUUUCUUUUCCUUUUUUUUUUUUUUUCAGAUGGAGUCUCGCUCUGUUGCCCAGGCUGGAGUGCAGAGGCACAAUCUCGGCUCACUGCAACCUCCACCUCGCAGGUUUAAGUGAUUCUCAUGCCUCAGCCUCCGGAGUAGCUAGGACCACAGGCACCCACCACCAUGCCUACUUUUUGUAUUUUUAGUAGAGACUAAUUUUUGUAUUUUUAGUAGAGAUGGGGUUUCACCAUGUUGGCUAGGCUGGUCUCGAACUCCUGAUCUCAAGUGAUCUGCCACCUUGGCCUCCCAAGUGUUGGGAUUACAGGCGUGAGCCACCGUGCCUGGCCAUGUUUUUUUAUUUUGCACUCAUUGCACCUGAGUAAGAAUCA
rnacentral:lncRNA from 1 species